CAAGUCGAACGGAAAUAAGUUUGGUGUUUACAUUGAACUUAUUUUAGUGGCGGACGGGUGAGUAACACGUAGGUAACCUACCUUAGAGUAUGCGAUAACUAGAAGAAAUUUUAGAUAAUAGCAUAUAAGACCACAUCAUCACAUGAUGAAGCGGUAAAAGGAGUAAUUCGCUUUAAGAUGGACCUGCGGCUGAUUAGUUAGUUGGCGUGAUAACAGCACACCAAGACGAUGAUCAGUAGCCGAGCUGAGAGGCUGAUCGGCCACAUUGGGACUGAGACACGGCCCAGACUCCUACGGGAGGCAGCAGUUGGGAAUAUUGGACAAUGGAGGAAACUCUGAUCCAGUGACGUCGCGUGAAGGAAGAAGGUCUUCGGAUUGUAAACUUAUUUUAUCAGGGAAAAAACAAAUGAUGGUACCUGAAGAAAAAGCACCGGCAAACUACGUGCCAGCAGCCGCGGUAAUACGUAGGGUACAAGCGUUAUCCGGAUUUACUGGGUAUAAAGGGUGAGUAGACGGCAAUGCAAGUCAGCUGUGAAACCUUGGAGCUCAACUCCAGGCCUGCAGCUGAAACUGUAUAGCUAGAGUACAGGAGAGGAAAGCGGAAUUCCUAGUGUAGCGGUGAAAUGCGUAGAUAUUAGGAAGAACACCAGUGGCGAAGGCGGCUUUCUGGACUGAAACUGACGUUGAGGCACGAAAGUGUGGGGAGCAAACAGGAUUAGAUACCCUGGUAGUCCACACUGUAAACGAUGGAUACUAGGUGUAGGCAUGAAUGUGUCUGUGCCGGCGCAAAUGCAAUAAGUAUCCCACCUGGGGAGUACGACCGCAAGGUUAAAACUCAAAGGAAUUGACGGGGGCCCGCACAAGCAGUGGAGUAUGUGGUUUAAUUCGACGCAACGCGAAGAACCUUACCAAGGCUUGACAUGCAGAUGAAUACUAAAGAAAUUUAGUAGGCCUUCGGGACAUCUGUGCAGGUGAUGCAUGGUUGUCGUCAGCUCGUGUCGUGAGAUGUUAGGUUAAGUCCUGCAACGAGCGCAACCCACGUGUUUAGUUGCUACGCAAGUAGAACUCUAAACAGACUGCCGUAGUUAAUACGGAGGAAGGUGUGGAUGACGUCAAAUCAUCACGUCCCUUACGUCUUGGGCAACACACGUACUACAAUGGCUAUUACAGAAAGAUGCGAAUCCGUGAGGAGGAGCGAAACUUAGAAAAGUAGUCCUAGUUCGGAUUGAAGGCUGCAACUCGCCUUCAUGAAGCCGGAAUUGCUAGUAAUCACAGGUCAGCAUACUGUGGUGAAUACGUUCCCGGGCCUUGUACACACCGCCCGUCACACCAUGAGAGUUGGAAAUACCUGAAGUC
rnacentral:rRNA from 1 species